CCUACGGGAGGCAGCAGUGGGGAAUUUUGGACAAUGGGCGCAAGCCUGAUCCAGCAAUGCCGCGUGAGUGAAGAAGGCCUUCGGGUUGUAAAGCUCUUUUGUCAGGGAAGAAACGGUGUUUUCUAAUACAGAGCGCUAAUGACGGUACCUGAAGAAUAAGCACCGGCUAACUACGUGCAAGCAGCCGCGGUAAUACGUAGGGUGCAAGCGUUAAUCGGAAUUACUGGGCGUAAAGCGUGCGCAGGCGGUUUUGUAAGUUUGUCGUGAAAUCCCCGGGCUCAACCUGGGAAUGGCGAUGAAGACUGCAAGGCUAGAGUUUGGCAGAGGGGGGUAGAAUUCCACGUGUAGCAGUGAAAUGCGUAGAUAUGUGGAGGAACACCGAUGGCGAAGGCAGCCCCCUGGGUCAAAACUGACGCUCAUGCACGAAAGCGUGGGGAGCAAACAGGAUUAGAUACCCUGGUAGUCCACGCCCUAAACGAUGUCUACUAGUUGUCGGGUCUUAAUUGACUUGGUAACGCAGCUAACGCGUGAAGUAGACCGCCUGGGGAGUACGGUCGCAAGAUUAAAACUCAAAGGAAUUGACGG
rnacentral:rRNA from 1 species